CGGACGAUCAUCCUCGUCCUUGUGCGAGU
rnacentral:sRNA from 1 species